GUGGCUAUGGUGUAAUGGCAGCACAAGGGUUUGUGGAGCCCUUAGAGGCAGUUCAAAUCUGCUUAGCCACCCA
rnacentral:tRNA from 1 species